rnacentral:rRNA from 1 species
UACGGAGGGUGCAAGCGUUGCUCGGAAUUAUUGGGCGUAAAGGGUAGGUAGGUGGUCUCAUUUGUCUGGGGUGAAAGCCUUGAGCUUAACUCAAGAAGUGCCCUAGAAACGGUGAGACUGGAGUCCUGGAGAGGGUCGUGGAAUUCCCGGUGUAGCGGUGAAAUGCGUAGAGAUCGGGAGGAACACCAGAGGCGAAAGCGGCGACCUGGACAGGUACUGACACUCAACUACGAAAGCGUGGGGAGCAAACAGG